rnacentral:lncRNA from 1 species
UGAACCUUGACAAAGAUCAUCUCCCUCGAGCCGCCAACAGUAGAAGUACUAAUUUGAAUCCAAAGCCGCCACACGCUGCUAUCCCCGAUAACCACUGUUUAGACACCAUUUUGCAACACCCUGCCCGAAGUCAAAUCAAGACGGCCCUAACACCGAUGGGCCUUAAUGUGUUCUAACAAGGGUGAUGAUAUUACACCAUAAAUAAAAAUUACACCAUGUUCGAAAAUACCAAGUCUCACUACUCUGUCAACCAAG